rnacentral:lncRNA from 1 species
ACCAGUUCGAAAAGACAGAAAUUCACAUGGUGGUGGUAUUAUCAUGUAUUUUAAAAAUUACGUUCACAUAAUCCGUCGACAAGAUUUAGAGCAUGAUGAAAUUGAGAGUAUGUGGUUUGAGUUAAAGACCAAACUUCGAUCUAUUUGAUUAAUAUAAAUUAUAGGUCGGAAAGGCAAUCUACAGUUUAUUUCUGGCAAUACUUUGAUCAAAUGUUGAAAAACGCCCUUGAUGAAAAUAAUUGUAUAAUUUGCUUAGGUGAUCUGAAUAAAAAUUUUAUGUCUGAUCUACCGUCAAAUAUUAGAGAUAUUAUUUUUAUUAAUGGCCUGAUUAACAUAAUUGACAAAGCCACGCACUUUGACACACG